UCUUCUCUCCUCUUAAUUUUAAUUUCCCUGCUACUGCCAUUUCCACCAUUAUUUCUCUGCUCUGUAUUUUUUUUUCUUGUUAUUUCGUUUAAACCAUCACAGAAAAGUAUGAGGAUUUGAUUUAUUUGAAUCAAAUGAUAAAGAAAACUAUUGUUGCAGAGAUUUGCAGUACAUGGUUUGAUUUUGAUGAAAGAAGAAGGCAAAGGAAGAUUAUAUGAUUUAUUAUUAUUGUUACGGAAUUGAUUAGAGUUCGGUUAGGGUUUUGAUGUCUUGAAGAAUUGAGGUUUCAAAUGAAAACUGAAAUUAGGGUUUCGAUUGAGCUCGUCAAAUCGAUUCAAUAAGGGUUUCAGUUGAGAUUCAUGACACAAUCGAUUUAAUUGAGUUGAUGGCAUAAUCGAUUGAAUAUGGGUUUUAGGUUUCAGUUAAAAUUUCAAUUUGGGUGCAUGACCCUUUGAUAUCAAAUGCUCAGAUUUUGUUACUUAGAUUAGAGAUGGGUUUUGAUAAAUUAGGGGUUUAAUCAUGAUGGUGUACGGUGUGAACAAUAAGAAGAAUUAGAAGUUGGGUCUUAUUUGAUUGAUAAUGGUGACAGAGAAGAAGGUAAGGAUUUUAUUGCUCUGAAGGUCGCUACUUUUGGUUGUGAUGUUUAAGAAUCAGUAGUCGAGAAGCGAAAAUGGUGAAUCAAAUGGAGACAUGAAUCUCAGCAAGAAGAACAAGUUGGGGCGAUUUUCAGUUUACCAUGAUUUUCACUGAAAAAUCUGAAUUAUAGGUGGAAGGUGCAAUUGAGAUUAAUCUCAGUGAUGUGGGAAAAAAAUAAUUACAACCAUCCAGCAGGAUCUGGGUCAAGAGAAUCGGAAUUAUGCGGAUCCAUGCACAUUUCUACAUUAGCAGAUCAGUUUAGCAACCACACAUCAAAAUUUCCAUUUUGAUCUAAAUGCACACGCCUUCUCCAUGUAUAUGCUCUAGGACUUGACCAAUGAAUAUUGGCACUGAAAUGGACUGUGCCCAAGCGUUCCGCGCGGAUACGCUAAAUAUGUGUCCGCAGUCCACAAAAUACCACCGGUAACACUCUACAUAUGAACUGAUACUUGCAAUUCUCUUCUUAUUAUUUUAUUUUUGUUUGGUCAAGUUCGAUCAUUUUUCAAAUAUGGUUUUGUAUUCGUGACUACUCAUCAGUUUCUUGCAGCAUCUCUUCAAUAAGACCACAUCACUAAGUCAAUUUGCUUGCACUAUUAUUUUUAAGUUGAGGAACUGAAAACUGUUACCUUACAUGAUAGCUUUACAGUAAAGAAUAAUCUAAGCUAACAUGAAAGAAACAUAUGAAACACUGAGGAUGAAGAUGAAAACACUCCCAUCUCUGUUGUUUUGACUAGUCUUCAAUUAGUCCAUAGAACUCAAAAUUCGGAAACUUUUAAUUUAACAAUUCAUUGUAAGAACUUAAAUUCAUUUCCUCAGAUUCCGAUAUGUAUUACCCAUUGGCUUGCCUAAGUUUUUUUAUAAAAAGGAAAGAUAGAUCUCGUAUUCGGCUAGCCUUUCAGGUUAGUUUUCCAUUUUUCUAAGGGAAUUUUGAUAAGUACCCCCGUUUAAAGUGCAUGAUUUCAGUUAGGUUUAAAUUAUCAGUAGCAGAGAAAGGGAAGAGGAGAAAAGAAGAGGAAAAGGAAAUUGAUCCCCCUCUUGAUUUUUCUUUUCUUUGUUUUUAUCACUGUAGUGAGAAGACAAAAAUGCCCAUAACACUUCUCUACUAGACAUGUGUCUUUCAUGUAUGCAAGUUUAUUAAGGCACCCAGGGUCAUAUUUAAGGCAGAUUUCUCUAUCUAAAUACACCAUCAAUUUUGGAGGCAACCUAAAAGUGUUAUAAAUACUUGAGUAUUAGAGUUUUAGGCAUUUUAAUUGCGUAAUUUGACUAAUGGGUUCAGUUAAAACCCGAGAAAAAGGUUCGUACUGUUAUAUCUAUACUUGUAAAGUUUUUUAAGUCAUUAAUCAAAUAAAAGAAUUUUGGUAUUCACUUUGUUCUUGAGAUGUCUUGGAUCUUAUUUACUUUCUUAUUUAGGUGUACUAAUGGAUUUCCAGUAGUUACAGGAAUCUCAGAUGAGAAGAUAUUAAGUGAAAUAGACGCAAAAUUGUUAAUGAAACUGGCUUUCAUAUGUUUCUGUAUUUCCCAUUUGAUAUGGAAAUCUGGUUCAAUCCUAUUGGUUAUAGAUGCACUGAAGGGAAAUUUACUAGUAUGAAAGACUGGAUCUUACGCUGGUUUGUAGCUGUUGACACUAUGGUCAGCAAAAUGGCUGCCAUUGCUUGGCACAUCAAGAAGUGCAGAAGUGAUUUCGUCUUCAACAAUAAACUCAUCUCUAUGCAGCUCUACAGUGCGGCUAUGAUGUAUUCGGGCCACAUACUUGAAGGAUGUGUCCCCUCUUAGUUUUGUGACACGUAUUAUAAGGAAGAAAAUAAAGUCCUAAAAGUAACUACAUGAAAGUGUAACUAAUUCUUUUUCUUUUAACUCCGUACUUUUUCUCAAAAAGUGAAAUGUUAACAGAGACUUGGAGGGGGAAGAUUUUUAGUUGUAAUAGGUGUCACAAAACUAAGAGGAGUCACAUAUUUGAAGUAUGUGGCUCGACCACAUCAUAUUCGUGGCCGCAGCUCUAUGCAGAUGUGAUUUCGAAUCAGAUUAACCAUUUUCUUCAUAGGUCUUCUAGUGUUACCAGGGACACUAGAAAAGUAAUCUCUUCUCCGAUACUUCCUAAAUGGUCACCCCCAUUUGAUGACUUUAUUAAUUAUGAUGCUUCUUAUUGUUCUAUCAUUAAAAAUGGUGGAUAUGGCCUAAUAGUAACAAAUUUUGCAGGUACACACCUAGCUUCAAGAUGUAAUUCUUUCGGUAAUGCUCCUGGCUCUGGAUCUCGGGAUUGUGUGGCUGUUUUGGAGGUUGUGAAGUGAGCUAUAUCUCUUGGUUUUAAGAAGAUUAUGCCGGUGGCAGAUUACCAGUCUUUUGUAUCAACAAUUCAAGGCAAUAAUUAUUUGUUCCUUGCGAGUUUAGAGGCAUUGCCGAAAAUAUUCAAGCUUUAUUAAGUUUUUUUGAUAAUCGGAGUUGUACGUGCACAAGUAAAUUAACAAAUAAGUGUGUGGAUGAAUUAGCCAAGUAUGCAAAUAAAGAGGGAGUGUCUGGUUGUUGGAUUA